AGAAAGGUAAGCUAAAUCCAAGCUAAUGGGUUCAUACCCCACUUAUAGAACAAGUUUCUCCUUUCUA
rnacentral:tRNA from 1 species